CAUAUGGCUUUGAAACUUUGCACACUUGUUCAACAUCAUGACCCCAACCUGUAGACAGGAGGAGGUAACUCUAUCAAGCAUUUUGACAGAAUUAUGCCCCUUUUUCGACUUAGAAUUUACGUUAAAGUUUUUGUAAUAGUUCAAAUAUUUUCAAAGUCCAUUGACAUAUGGCUUUGAAACUUUGCACACUUGUUCACCAUCAUGACCCCAACCUGUAGACAGGAGGAGGUAACUCUAUCAAGUAUUUUGAUAGAAUUAUGCCCCUUUUUCGACUUAGAAUUUACGUUAAAGUUUUUGUAAUAGUUCAAAUAUUUUCAAAGUCCAUUGACAUAUGGCUUUGAAACUUUGCACACUUGUUCACCAUCAUGACCCCAACCUGUAGACAGGAGGAGGUAACUCUAUCAAGCAUUUUGACAGAAUUAUGCCCCUUUUUCGACUUAGAAUUUCCGUUAAAGUUUUUGUAAUAGUUCAAAUAUUUUCAAAGUCCAUUAGACAUAUGGCUUUGAAACUUUGCACACUUGUUCAACAUCAUGACCCCAACCUGUAGACAGCAGGAGGUAACUCUAUUAAGCAUUUUGACAGAAUUAUGCCCCUUUUUUCGACUUAGAAUUUACGUUAAAGUUUUUGUAAUAGUUCAAAUAUUUUCAAAGUCCAUUGACAUAUGGCUUUGAAACUUUGCACACUUGUUCAACAUCAUGACCCCAACCUGUAAACAGGAGGAGGUAACUCUAUCAAGCAUUUUGACAGAAUUAUGCCCCUUUUUCGACUUAGAAUUUACGUUAAAGUUUUUGUAAUAGUUCAAAUAUUUUCAAAGUCCAUUGACAUAUGGCUUUGAAACUUUGCACACUUGUUCACCAUCAUGACCCCAACCUGUAAACAGGAGGAGGUAACUGUAUCAGGCAUUUUUUUUACUAUCAAGCACUAAGAAUAGUCGAGCAUGCUGUCCUACCGACAGCUCUUGUUAAUUUGGUUAUAAUAUAAAAUUAUGGUUAAAUUCAUUUUAAUCCAAAUAUUUUCCAUACCAUUCUGAAUUAGUUCUGGCUUCCAUAACUUUAUAGAAUAGUCCCCUAUGGUACAAGUUCUGGCUUCCAAAACUUUAUAAGCCUCUAUUACAGUGUUCAAUCUAGAACAAAUUUCCAGGGGGCCCUUCGGGCCCAUAAACUUUUCAAAAGAGGGUCAUUUGAGAAAAAAGGGGCCAACAUUUAAAAUGAACAUCAAAUUCACAUGAGGUAUUGUAUCUUUUUAAGUUACUUGUUCACGUAUCAUAUAUAAACCAAAAAAAACGGUUGUAAAAUUCAAUAACAAUCAACUCCACUAAAAAAAUUACAUUAUUUGGACCUUUUUCCAUAGUUCUGUUAGCGUUGAUGCAUUCUGAAUUAGGAUGGUCCCCUAUGGAACAAGUUCUGGCUUCUUAAAUUUUAUAAGCCUCUAUUAAACAUUUUUAUACCCCCACAAACGAAGUUAAGGAGGGGGGAAUAUAGGAGUCAGCUUGUCGGUCUGUCAGUCUGUUGGUAGGUAGGUCCACAUCAUGGUUUCCGAACGAUAACUAGAGUUUGGAAUGAGGUAUUGUAAUCAAACUUGGUAUAUACAUGUAGCAACCUUAUGUGGAAACUCCGGUUGGUAUUGCAUUUUGACCCCCUGUGGUCAAGGUCAAGGUCACCAUUACUAAGAAUAGAAAAAUGGUAUCCGGACAGUAACUUGGAUAGCCUUCGAUCUGAAGGUAACACUGUUCUAAAAAUAGAUUUUACCUUAUCACCACUACAUCACCUGUACUGACUUUCGGACAAGGGAUUAGGGAGUACACAUUAUACAUGAUGUUAAUCAGCGUACAUUUACUUUGUUUACAUGCAAUAUUUUAUAAGAUAUUUAAUACAAUUGUAGAAAGCAAACAACUUGGAAACGGAAUUUAGUGUGAAAGAAAAGGGACACUACACACUGUACUUUUUUAAGUUAAAUUUAAACAUAAUGUCACAAUCUGCUCUGACCUCUAUAUAUACAUCUUUACACCUUGUCAAUAAAAUUGUAACAGUAAUUGGCGAUGAUUUUAACAACAAAUAUUUUGUGUGAGACAUGAAAUAAAAAACAAAUGUAUUUUAUUGUCUAUACCAGUGAUUUUUCUCACUUAAUUGGGAAGAGGCCUUAGCCUAUUGAUUUUGGGAAAAAUUAUCGCUAAAAUUGCUGAUUUGGGAAGUAAAAGAGCUGGAUUAAGUUCAGAUUUUUGGGAAAACUGCAUGAUUUUAAAGAAAAUUUCAAUUGGGAAGAGGCCUUUUUUUCGGAGUCUGUUAUAUAAGUAGAAAAAUCACUGUAUACGUAAACAGUGUACGUUAAAUCACGGAUCUCAAUUGUUAAUUCAGUUUAAAUAUACAUGCAAGCAUGCAUGUACGUAUACAAUUACAUUAUUUCUGAUAAAAUAAAUACUAGAAUUGGCAUUUUUUAUUAGGUAAAAUAGGAAAAAAUGCAGAGUUUUGCUUAUUCUAAAAUAAUUAAAGAAUUAAGAUAUUAAUCAUUAAUCUAUUACUCGUAGCACGUUUGUGCAUAAAUUCAUGACAUCUCCAAUCUACGUAUUUAUAUAAACACAAUUGUGUACGGUAUAUCUGGGACAGAUAGAUACUCUUUCAUUUUUAGUCCCAAUUUCUUAAAAUCAUACCAUAUAUCACCAUUUCUAAUUUUGAUAAACAGUGAAACAAGAACAAAUUGACAAGCGCUGGCAUUUUUCUCAAAUUGACAUGCCCCGAAAGUUAUUUCUUUUUCACCAUAUCAUCUUUAUUUUCCUGAUGGUUUUAAACCAUCUCAAUCAUGCUUUACGCAAGUUUAACUCCAGGAACAUCAUUUCCAUUGAGAGAAAUGUGAAUAAAAGUAUUCGUAACCAUUAUGUUGUAUAAUCUACAUGUAGAUUAACCAGUUUCCUUGUCCAAAACUUAUCGCUAUGUGGCUAUUUUUAGAACAGGUCUCUUAUCAGUGACGUAUACGAUGCUUAUCUCAGAUCGUUCCCUAGGAAUCAAACUUUGUGUAUAGCAGCUUAUAUGAAGACCUUGGCUUGUAUUGCAUUUGGGCCCCCUGGGGUCAAGGUCACCAUUACUAAAAAUAGAAAAUGGUUUCCGAAAAUAACUAGAGUUAGGAAUGAGAUAUUGUAAUCAAACUUGGUGUAUAGUAAACUUAUAUGAAGAACCCCGGCUGGUAUUGUUUUUGGACCCCCUGGGGUCAAGAUCAAGGUCUCUGUUACUAAAAAAAGAAAAAUAGUUUCUGGACAAUAACUGGAGUUAGGAAUGAGAUAUUGUAAUCAAACUUUGUGUAUAGCAAGCUUAUUUGGAGUCCCCAGUUGCGAUUACAAACAAUAUUUCUUUGUACACAGUUGAUAGUUUGUGUUCAAAUUUUUCUUCAGACUACUUUUUUUCCAAAAAGUCAAAGUUGCUGGUGGGGGUAUUAAUCACCUUUAGUGAUAGGUCUACGGUAGUUGUUUUUCAUCAGAUGCGGCAUGAAAGUUUUGGAUAAGACCCCGUUACAAAACCUAACCAGAAUAACAUAAGUUGAUUUAUUCUUAUUUUUCACUUGCAAAUACACUUGACCCAAUCAAUUCUUGUUCAUUUUACGAUAAAACAAUUAUUUUAAUAUCGUUCUAUACCAAUUAAAGUAUCAAAAUAUUAAUACCGUCAUUGAAAUUGCCUAUUUAAUUGUAAAACAUCAAUUUACGCCGACUAUAGUCGUCCAUGACAUUUAGGUGCCACGCGAGACCUUGCAUGCGGUCAUUUGCGGGAACCGAUUUGAAUAGAGUCAUGUACUAUAUUUAGAAAUUUUUUGUUGACAUGAUUUUGAUGUUUUUAUUCAAGAUAAUGUUUUUAUUUAUUUUCAUUAAUUUUUUAGUACUUAAAUUAUGAUUUUAUUGAAUAUAAAAGUCAGUAAAUCACCUUUUUCAAUAUCUUUAAAAAAAGUAAUUUAAAAAAAUAUUGGAAGGACAUGGGUUCGUAAAGGUCAAUCUCGUAAUCAUGUGGUGAAACAUUUUGGCAAUAUGGUGGCCAAGUGCCGGAAUUUUUACCUGUCGGAAACUAUUGGGUAGUUUAUGUUAGUAAUAAAAUUUGUAUUUGACCGUCCUUGGCUUAUCGACAGAUAAUAUAUAGUUUUAUCAAGGUAUGCUUCACUUUACUUCAUGGCAUUUCGAAGGAAUACGAGCGUGUCCAGUGAUUUUUUACCCCUGAAUUGUGAAUGGUUCCUGUACCAUAAAAAUUGUGUAAAAAAAGCAUUGUUUCUCAACAAAUUGUGAAUUUUUUACUUAAGAUUGUGAAAAUCUUAUUAAGAAGUAAAAACAUAAUUUUUAUUAACUGUUCUUAAUGUCUAAAGCUUUACUGUUACGAGCCAUUUUAAAUGAUGUUUACAGAAAUUGCCAGACGCUUGUUUUGGCGGUAUGCCUAAAAUACGAAAGUGAGUUAUAAAAUAGUAAUUUUAACAUUUUAAUAGACUCUUUAAACAAACUUGCAGUUUGCAGACGUAUAUUAUUAGAAAUAGGGGUGUGGAUCGUCGGAUAAGUGUCGAUCCGAUCCGAACCACGAUUCAGCACUUACGAUUCACAAAUCGAACCACAAAUCUUUUGUUAUCAAGACACCCAUAGAAACAUGCACAUUUAAGUUACAAAAACAUGUUUAUUUAAAAAAAAAAAUACUAAACAUUAAACAUAUAAAAUAUAAACUAGGUUUAUGUUUUUAUUCUUUGGAUGAGUAUUUUUUUAAACCAAUUACUUCCUAGCUAAGCAUCAUGGUACAUAGUCUUUAACCGGCAAGUUGUAUUUAGGUAAACUUUAUAUAAUUUACACUCAAAUCGUAAUUUUCUUGAUUUUAUGAGUGUGAGAAACAGUGAAUGUAUAUAAUAAAAAAAUUAGAUCGCGGGCUUACGAAUAUUCAAACUCGAUUUUUUACUUUGAUUUGUGAUUGUCCGAGUACUCGGAUACUCGCAUCAGCCCUAAUUAGAAAAUAAUUACAGUUAUUAACAGAAAUAAUCAUAAAGAUAAAAUUUAAUCGCUACAAAUUUGCAUAAUUUCUAUACACAAGUUCUUAUAUCUUCCUAUCGCUCACAUUGAAAAAUAGCGUUUAAAUUGCAUUUACAGUACGCUCAGCGCAACUUUUUCAAAACCCGCGUGACCCCGCGGAUGAGGUUUACCGCGGACGAAAAUUUGCACCACCCCGGACAAAAAUCGGCGGCUGAAACUUUUUCCCCCGUGGAACGCAGCGGUAAAUUGCGGAGGAACGCGGCAGUCAAACACCGGUCAACGCGGUGGAAACCUUAAAUUUUAAAAAUUAAUUACUAUAUUUAAACAUCAGUAUACGUACGUACUGUAACAUGUACUGUACAUAUAACUAUAUGUAAAAUUUGUUUGUUUUCUUUUUUGUUGUAAUAAAAGUACAUGUACAAAUGCAGUGUAUUUCUUGUUCUUCUUCUUGUUAUUGUGUUGGGUAAUGUAUAAAAUGUAUUCGACAUCAAGAUAAAUCAUUGUUGUCGCAACUUCAUGGUAGUGAGAAACUUGAAGUCAAAUAAUGAAAAAUUCGGCAUAUGACAUUUAUGAAAAAAUUACUACAACAAUUUAUAUGCCAGCUUUUGUUUCUUAUUUAAAAACUUUGAAAACGUAACCCUCAACAAUUUAUUCAGGCAAUAUUCCAGGACGUCUCUUUCAAUUGUCAGAUGCGUUUUACUGUUUCUGUUUAUUUGCAUGUUGAUCAUAAAGUCUUAUAUUUUAUUUGGAACAUUAAAAGAAAGCGUUUAUUUCACCAAAAUAUACAUUAAAUGAUAUUCUUGAUUUAUCUAAUUACAGGUGUGAGCGUAAUGUAUAUGUUUCGAAGUUUGUAUCAACUGUUGAAGUUUAUUUUCAUUUUUGUUCUAGUAGUUUGUUUGUUUGUCUUUUUUAUUUUUUAUAGAUUUUUUUUUUUGCAGAAUUUUGUUAAACUUGACGUUAUACUUUUUGUUAUUUUAUUAUGAACAGCAUGUACAUACAUGUAUAUAAGGCAACCAAGCACAUGUCAGUUAUUUUCUAAGAACUUCCAUCGACCGAUUUUCAAGUUAAAAUAUUUCAUUUUAUUUUUAUCUUAAGAUAUUAUUGUUCAACUGACCAACUGACCUUGGCGUUCCCCCGCGGAAAACGGGUGACUGAUUUUAUCGACGAAUGAAGAACGGAUGUCAGAAUUUUGUCCGCGGUGGAAACAACUGAACACCGGGGAUCACGGGGGAAAUUAGGCUUUCAUCGCGGACGAACCCCCGCGUUUGUCCGCGAUAAAAAAAAAUCGUCCGCGGUGGUAUUGCAGAAAAAGCAAAACCCGCGGUGAGCGUACUGUAAGUAUGUCAAUAGAUGCCUAAACAAACUUAAUACUGUGUUAACUCCUACGAUGAUUAUCUAAUAAUUUCACAGGUUGAUAGAUCUACGGGAGUUACCUCCCUUCUGUAUUUCCUGCUACUUUCGUUUUUAACAUGCGUUGUUGACAACAGAAUUUUUAGUUUUUUUUAAUGCAAUAAAAUGGAAAUAUAUUGUAUUUUUAUGCUCAAAACAUUUUCUUUCUACAUAUCAAAUGUGCACUUCUCUUCUUUUACGCAUAAAUUUUGAUAUACGAGCAUACUUUCAUUUUGUUGUGCGUAACUGUGACGCACAAAUUUUGAAAGUGAUGCGUAUUUUAGAUUUUCUAUGCGUAUUUUACGCUUAUACGCACACUAUCUGGAGCUCUGAUAUAUUAUUUAUUAUUUAAGAAAUAAUAUAUCCCAAACAGUGAUUUUAUCGCUCAAUAACAUCACUGUUUGGAGUUCGGAUGCGAGGAAUUAUAUCACGUGGGUGUAGUCUGAGUGAUAUAAUGAUGCACAUUCGAACGACAAAUAGUGAUGUUAUCAAGCGAUAAAAUCACUGAUUAAAAUUUUGGAUAUAUUAUUUCGAUUCUAACACGACAUCAACAAAUAAAUGUUGCCGUACUUGAUAGUUAAGCAAAUUUGUGCCUGAUUUGUUUCCGUACUUAUUUUCAGCGUGUCAGAUUUUUAGUGGUUACGUCACGUGUAUAAUGAUUACGUCACAUGUCUAAAUAUAGAACGUCAAACUGUGCAUCUGUUGCAUAAUAACACACACUUUCUGUUCUUCUAUGUUCAAUAGGGUAAAUGCGGGUCAUGUUAGAAUAUAUUAUAACCCAUAAUGCAUGUUAUUUAUUAUAUAUAUUUAUCAAAUUGAAAAAAAGGUGGUUAGAAAAUUGAGGUUGAAACUUUCAGGGCCGAAACGUCCAGGAGGUGUAAAGUCCUGAAACAUAUAGAUUAUACCUUGUCUUGAAAAUAUGUUGGGCUGCCGGUCUGCAAUGUAUGUUUUCCUUUAUUUAAAAAGGUCAUGUAUUAAUUUUGUUCGCCUGUAUGUAAAUGAUUUGAUAAUUUGACUGCUGAUUUGCUAAAGUUACUACCAUUCGUUUUAUUUUGUUCAUGCCAGAAGCGGUGUCGAAGUAAAUAUUAUCUAUCUAAGAGAUUCCUGGUAUAAAGCAAAGUAUUUUUUCAGAAAUGUGCAUAAAGACGACCCUGUUAAAUCAUUUUUAAUGCAUGUAUGAGCUCUUGAUGGCUUAUAAUUUCAAUAAUCAUUUGUUUCGGCUGCCCGACAAAAAAUAAUAUUGUGCCAGGUUGAGUGCAUUCGCGGAUUGAUAUCAUUACAGCUCUAACCUGGGACAUAAGAUAAGUUAGUUAACAUAAACCUGUUUAAAUUACAUGAAUGGCUAGCUAUCAUUUAAUCAAAUCACUAAACGAUCUAGCUAAGUUGUUAAAAAUUUAUAUGAUAAGGAUAUUUUAUUAACAUUUAGAAACGUUUUCUAUUUUGCGUGCGUUUUAGCGUGCGUAUAUCGUUUAGCGUAUUUCGUUUUGCGUGCGUCUGCAUAUUUCGUUUCACAAAGCGUGCGUGUAACGUGCGUUCGUAUAGCAUGUAACAUGCGUGCGUUUUUCACGAACGCAGGGUUAGAAUUUAGCGAUAUUUUCUACUUGCAGAUUUUUGCAAGUGAUCAAAUGCUUAACUGGCAAUAUGAGGUAGUCAACUGGCAUUUCCAUGAUCACGAAUCUUAUCAUUACUAUAAUACACAAUGACAAUGUAUUUUGGACAUCUGAUAUGACAAAUGAUAAUAAGCUUGAAUCAUGUCAGAAGCAUCUUUAUCACAAGUAAACACAGAUCUAUUUCUUCUUGUAAUGAAACAAAAACAUUUCAACACAUUAAUUUAUAAAUGAUAAACUGUUUAGGGAUCAGAUUAGAUAUACCAGAGGAACACCCACUGAUGACAAUGUACAGUUAUAAACUUGUUCAUGUAAUGUUAUUUCUUAGGACCUUUAUUAAUUUUAGCGUAUUUUGUGCUUGACUGAAACCUAGAGGUACUGAUCUACUUAAACAAAUAUUUCAGCUUAAAAGUAAUCACUUUACAGAGUAGUGCUACGCAUUUACAUUGGAUAAAACAACAUGGAGUUCUAACAAAUAGUGUUUGGUUGUUAUAAAUAGUCCAUCAAAACAUAGUCACAGAAAAAAAAUAGAGCAACUAAAAACUGAUAGCAACUAAAAAUAGAUUUUUAAGUUUCUAAGGUAAACGUCAUCAUUUACUGCAUCUGGCACAUUAAACAUCAUCAGUUUCUUCAGCGGGCAGUAAAAAUGCCAAGCAUCAUCAUCAGCUCAGAAGAUAACAAUUUUGUAUAAUGUAUAUGUCCAAAAUGAACAGUCACUUGCAAAUAAAUGCCAGCUAGAGUAAUUUUUACUGGCAUUAUUAGAUUUUAACUGGCAUUUUGCCAGUAUGCCAGCUUAAAUUCGAACCCUGGAACGUGCGUUUUGCGUGUAAACUGGAACAUUCACCCUACUGUAUCACAUACACAAAAUAAAGACCGUUUAAAGAGAAAUAAGAGUAGUUUUUCAUUUACGCGCCUAUAGACGUAUAACGCUAACAUUUAACGCAUCUUUACACAAUGUUUGUAUAACGCAAAUGAUGUCACUUCAAAUUAUAUGCACGGAUGUGUAAUACCAUAUUUACUGAGUGGCAAAAUCGGCACCGGUGUGUGAUAAAGCAUAUUAAUACAUAUUAAGCGCAUGUCAAUAAAUUUCAAUUUUAAGUGAUAUGAAAAAUAUUUUCUGUUGUGCUGUCUUUGUAAAUCCAAUAACUUAACAUCACAACCAGUUUCCUUAUUUUCCUCAUUUUUUUCCUCUCGAUUACAGUUUCAGACUUAAAAUAAAAUUGCAUUCUUAAUAUUUAUAUAUACUCAUAUAUUGUAAUGCCCUAGAAAUUUUACCUUUUUUAGUGAAUUUCACCGGAUUUCAGUAUUGUUUAUUUCUACUUUCACUUUCGUUUUGAGAAGCUUUUACUGGCGACAACACAGUAAAUAUUGCGGUGUCCCAAUGAAACAUACAGGACAUCAACUUAAAUCUACGUAUUGUGCCAGCAAUUUAAUCAUUCUUGAUUCUGGAAGCUUUUCCUUUAAAUGUUAUCCGUGGUAGAAUCCUGUGUUUUUAAUCUGUUUUCGUUUAGCGUAUAUCGUUUUGCGUGCGUCUGCGUAUUUCGUUUCGUUUUGCGUGCGUAUAACGUGCGUUCGUAUAGCGUGUAUCGUGCGUUCGUAUAGCGUGUAACGUGCGUUUUGCGUGUAAACUGACACGUUCACCCUACUGUAAAUAUAAACAAGCAAUAAAACAACUUGUCUUAAGCUGCGGAUUUUAUUGUAAAACUAAAAACAGCAAACUUCACAUUGAAUAUCUGUAAAUUUAUGGAUUGAAAAAUCUUUAAAUUUCGAGACUGUCUAUAAAUUUACGGACAGUCCAUAAAUAUUAUGAAAUCCUAGACCUGAUAAGAUCUAGUUCAUGUGUAGUUUCUAAAGUGAUAGCCGACCAUCGUAAAAACUGAUAGCCGACCAUCGUAAUUAAAUAUAUUGCUAAUUUUAUUGUUUUGGCCUUUGAAUUAAUUGAUUUAGUAAAGUUACUGAUUUUAUGAAUAAAUACACAGUACAAGUGAAAGAUGAUCAGAUCCAUUAUAAUUUUUAAUAAUGUGAAUAAAAUCAAAAUAGAAUCAAAGUCAAACUGUGAAACAAAACAUAGAAUUAGAAUCUGUUAGUAAUUUUGAUAACAUGUAUGAUUUUAAUAUAUAAUUUUUACAGUGCUUAAAUCAUGAAGGAAGCUAAAAAAACAACAAAACCUGUCUUUCAUGUAAGCAGAUUUGUUGACCAUUGUGACAGGGACCUGUACAGAACAGUCACAAAGGUACACCCUGUGAAAAUCAAACCUGCUCCAGUGAACACAAAACCAGUCAGUCAUACGGCAGCAGUAACUUGUGCAAAGAAAGUGGAGAAAGCCCCAAUUUCAGAGAAAGCAGCUUCAACAAGAACAUUGUGUAGUGCCAGACAGCCUGUAGCAGCACCUGAGCCAACAUCACAAACCACAAGACAGUCAGUCAAAAAUAAAGGGAUCAGUCAUUAUUCAUGGUCUAGAAGAGAGAGUGAUAAAGAGCAAGGAUGAAGUUUACGAGAGUUGGAGCGUGGAGCAUCAAAAAGACAGACUGCUGCAACACUAAUGAACGCUUCCUCAUGGUAUGAAGUAAUUUCAUAACUAUUGUGUAGCUUGUAACUUAGUACCAGGCUUAAACGUAGGUCAUUGAAAGUGACUUUCACUAUAUGUACAUAUAGUAAAAACUUAAAAUACCUUCUUGUAAAGACCCAAAAAACCUAGAGCUUAGAUAUUUUGCAUAAGGCAUUGUCUGGUAAACCUCUACCAAGAUUGUUCAAAUUAU